rnacentral:tRNA from 1 species
AGCCGGCUGGCGAAGGUGACGUCCAGGUCGGUGAUGUGGCAGCUCAGUGAGCGGUCGAGCGCGGCGGCGGUACGGACGUCGCCGUCGGCGCCC